rnacentral:rRNA from 1 species
UACAGAGGGUGCGAGCGUUGUCCGGAAUCACUGGGCGUAAAGGGCGCGUAGGCGGCUUGAUAAGCGUGCGGUGAAAGCCCGGGGCUCAACCCCGGGUCGGCCGUGCGAACUGUCGAGCUGGAGCACUGUAGAGGCAGGUGGAAUUCCGGGUGUAGCGGUGGAAUGCGUAGAGAUCCGGAAGAACACCGGUGGCGAAGGCGGCCUGCUGGGCAGUAGCUGACACUGAGGCGCGACAGCGUGGGGAGCAAACAGG